GGAAUUUUCCACAAUGGGCGAAAGCCUGAUGGAGCAACGCCGCGUGCAGGAUGAAUGCCUUCGGGUUGUAAACUGCUUUUAUAGGUGACGAUUUUGACGGUAGCAUAUGAAUAAGGAUCGGCUAACUCCGUGCCAGCAGCCGCGGUCAUACGGAGGAUCCAAGCUUUAUCCGGAAUUACUGGGCGUAAAGAGUUGCGUAGGUGGCAUUGUAAGUCGGUAGUGAAAGCGUCCCGCUCAACGGGGUACACAUUACCGAAACUGCAAAGCUAGAGGACAAGAGAGGUAGAUGGAAUUCCCAGUGUAGGAGUGAAAUCCGUAGAUAUUGGGAGGAACACCGAUGGCGUAGGCAGUCUACUGGCUUGUUCCUGACACUAAGGCACGAAAGCGUGGGGAGCGAAC
rnacentral:rRNA from 1 species